UGGAAUUCUAUAAGCCUCCCUUAACAAGGGGCAGUACCCACCAACAAAUGUGUCAGUAUUCCUGCAGUGAAAUGUGUGGAUGUUCAUGUUAGAUGGGAUUUUUAAAGGAUUAUCAAUGGCCUCAUGUCAGUUCAAGUUUUGCAAUGAGUUCUAAGGAACUGUCUGUUUUUAAGGUUUUUAUGGUGUCGGGGAUAGGGGAAGGUGGACACAACAGGUAGUGAUCUAAAUCUUCUGGUUCUUUUCCCUUCAGUGACCCAGAGGCAAAGGUCCUGGACUACCAGACACAACAGCAGAAACUCUUUCCUCAGCUGGCCAUCAGUUAUGCCUUCCAUUUCCUGGCAGUCAGCCUCUUGGAGUUCUUCCAGCACUCCUACACUGCCAUUCUGAACCAAGACUUCAGCUUCCUGCCUGAGCUCCACGCACUGAGCACGGGCAUGAAGGCCAUGAUGUCAGAAUUCUGCACCCAGGGAGCUGAGAUGUGCCGCAGGGCCUGUGGCGGACAUGGCUACUCAAAGCUGAGUGGCCUGCCAUCACUGGUCACCAAAUUGUCGGCCUCCUGUACCUA
rnacentral:lncRNA from 10 species